rnacentral:lncRNA from 1 species
GUGGAGCCUGGCGACUGCUUUGGGAAGUCCUGCUGGCAGGCACUCUGCCCCUGGGGGUGUGCAAAGAGUUGUCCAGUUACCUUGAUCUUCUCACAGCCUCCUCCCCAGGGCACCAGGAGAGACCAGGAUUGGAGGACGGUAAAGAACACACUUCCCAGAGGAUUCUUGGAGGUAGAGUCAACAGGAAGGGGUGGUGAGACCUGCACAGACCUGCUCUGUCCCCUGGGCCUGGUGACAGAUGACCUGGAUGUUGGGUGCAGCUGGGCAGGGACUGCAAUUCUGUGUGUCCCUUUUUCUGGGAGCCACAGGAAACCCAUGCCCUAAUCCACAUCAGACUACCACUUGUCCUUAUCCUCCAAACGCAGCAAAAUAUUACACAAGGUCCAGGGCAAGGCAGGAUGGCCACCUCGCUCACUCAUCACAGCUGUCCUCUGACCUGAGCAGGGCCGUUCUGUCUCAGACCUGGAGACCCCGCACUCAGGGCGUUCAGGAACUCCCCGACCCACCAGGAGCCUCUCCUGGUGUCUCCCAGGGAUUGUCAAUAGUUCCAUUUUCCUUGAAGAACUUGUUUUCAGGUAUGCACUUCUCUAAACACGUAUGCAUUAUUUUUUCUAUUUUAAAUUUAACCACGUUGUUUUAUUUUUAAUCACAUCUACACUUUGUAAAUUUGGAAACGGAGUGAUUUUCCAUGUUCAGUAAUGAUAGCAAGCUUCCUUUUAAAAUACGUUUUACUUUUUAUCUUCUUUUUUUUUUUUUUUUGAGAUGGGGUCUCCCUGUGUCGCCCAGGUUGGAGUGCGGUGGCCGAUCUCGGCUCACUGUAACCUCCGCCUCCCGGGUUCAAGUGAUUCUCCUGCCUCAGCCUCCUAAGUAGCAGGACUACAGGCACACGCCAUCACGCCUGGCUGAUUUGUGUAUUUUUAGUAGAGACAGGGUGUCACCACGUUGGCCAGGAUGGUCUCGAUCUCCUGAUCUCAUGAUCCACCCGCCUCGGCCUCCCAAAGUGCUGGGAUUACAGGCAUGAGCCACCGCACUGGGCCUAAAAUAUGUUUUUUAAGGAAACAAACAAAAAGCAAGUCAGUGUGAUGAGGUGGUAAAUAUAGGACAAAAAAUCAUGAAGGUGUUUCUCAAAUGAGAAAAUUAGAAAAAAACUGUAUCUCACCUUUCCCCCUACCUUACACAUGGGCGAGUGGCAAAUGUUUAUUGAACAAUUGCACAUGUAAGCACCCUGCCAGGUCGUCUUUACAUCCCCAACCACGUUACAAGGUGGAUGUGAUGAUCCCUGUUGGUGAGGACACGGGAGCUCAGGGAAGCCAGCCCAAGGCUACAGAGCCAGCAUUGCACAGUCAGAUAUCAGUGAGGGAGAAGGAAAAGAAAAAUCAUUUGGGAAAAAGUCAGACUGCAGAAGCAGUCGGCCUGAAUAGUCACAGCAACAGGCAGAAAUAAAACAACCUGGGAAAACACUCAGGCUGUACCUGGACAGAUAAACAAGCAAUGUCCAGCCCAGAAUCUCUUUGUUCUUUGUAAUUAGUGAGCUCCCAGGAAAAAUUUCCUCCCCUUUUCAGGCAUAUACAUGAUGAGAACUUGCACAAGGGGGAGGGAGCUUACCUAAAACAAACCCACAGUUAUACAAACAAGAGAAGCUGUACUUUGUGCUUGCCUAGAGACAUACCCACGGCCGCAUAAGAGAAGGGGAGUUGCACAGACACCUUUACUGAUAAGAAAAGUUACCCAAAUAAUUACAGGGAGGAGAGCAGUUUCUUGUAAAAAGCUUUUGAGGCUGGGUGCAGUGGCUCAUGCCUGUAAUCCCAGCACUUCGGGAGGCCAAGGCGGACAGAUCACCUGAGGUCAGGAGUUCAAGACCAGCCUGGCCAACAUCGUGAAACCCAGUCUCUACUAAAAAUACAAAAAUUAGCCGGGUGUGGUGGCACGUACCUGUAAUCCCAACUACUCGGGAGGCUGAGGGAGGAGAUUGGCUUGAACCGGGGAGAUGAAGGUGGCAGUGAGCCGAGAUGACGCCACUGCACUCUAGCCUGGGAGACAGAGCAAGACUCCAUGUCAAAAAAAAAAAAAAAAAAAAAGCUUUUGAAUUCAGCUGUAAACUGGCAGUCCACUUGCACUCCCCUCUCCACUGCAGAGAGUUUUCUUCUUUCACUUAUUAAAUUUUUGCUCCAACCCCAAGUUUGUGUCCAAGUUCCUUAAUUUUCUUGGAUUUAGGACACAGAACCCAGGAUACUAGUUCAGACAAUGAGGAACUGCUAGGUUAAGGUGCAUUGGUGAGACUGCAACAUCAGGACCUGGGUUUUCCUGAAGGUUGGAGGGAGAGAAAAGCCAGUUCCCUGGCUUAAUCUCUGUGGUUGGCCACCACCCACUUAAGUUUCAAGCCACAUAGGAUCAAAUCCACAGAGACGACGUUCAGGAAUAGAAGCCUGAGCUCAACCACAGCAGUGUGGUGAUAGGAAUGAGAGAGUGGGGAGAUGCCACAAUAUCCAGUUAUAUGUAGAAAAAGGCUAUUGUGUCAGCAGAUUUUAUAGAAAGGGCUGGAAUGAACAGGCUGCCACACACUGUCUCUGCAGGAACAAGAUUCGCAAGGAUACAAACAAAUGCAUUUAUAGGAACUCACUAGGCAACAGCAAUACCAUUGCAUUGAUAGGUGUGCAGACAUGUUUGUGCAGGGAGUAGAGAGAGAAGAUGGGUAGCCAAGGAGAGAGAGAGAACAGCAAAUCCCAGUGUUUCUUUCAGCACAACCUCUCAGGAACUCAUAAUUAAUGCAUUAAUUCUCACACCCCUGUUUCUGGACUUUUGUGUGUUUCCUCACACUUCCUUUGAUCUCAUUUUCCAAAGGAUAAAUGAAGUCUAAUGGAGAUAAAGCACUGACAUUUACAGAGGGUUAGAGACUAAUGAUAUUAAUGACAUUCUUGUGGUUUGUCCAACAUUAUUUUUGUGCAGAUUUCAAUUCAUGCUGCACUCAUCCUGGGGGCAAAAGUUAAAGGUUUUCUAAAAAGCUACUUAGUGAAUGUCUUAGUUAAUGGAAAAGAAAAUAAGUCAAUCCUUUUUUUUCUAACCUUGAAGUUGCAAAGAUUGACAAUGAACUCUGUAAUGGUGCAUUCUCCUCUUGUGUGGUUUUUGAAAGCUGAGUUAUCCUUCCUGUAAUGAUUCUGCACCUGCAAACUAUACGUGGCUUCCUCCAGGCAGUAAAUCUACAGCCCAGGCUCCCUGCAUCUUAUGGCUCCAAUCACUUUGGAUCUCAUCGUCGCCUGCACAUUGCCAUACACAGGGAAGGAGAAGAGAUGGAGAAGGCAAAGACUUUCUGAAAGCCGUGGCUAAAAGCUGGCAUGUGUCACAUCAGCUCACAUUCCAUUGUAGAGACGGGGUUUCACCGUGUUAGCCAGGAUGGUCUUGAUAUCCUGACCUCGUGAUCCGCCCGCCUUGGCUUCCCAAAGUGCUGGGAUUACAGGCGUGAGCCACCGCUCCCGGCCUGGCAGGCAUUCUUGAGGCAAACGGGAAAUGGGUGAACGGGAGGAACAUUGGCAGCACUUGUGGUCUGCACCAAGAACUGAAUCGAAUUUCCAUGUGUUAUUGAAUGUUCACAAAGACCUUGUACAGCGAGUGUUACUACCUCUGGUCAAUGAUUCAACUCAAGGCUCAGAAAAGUCAAGUGUCUUGUCCAGGGACACUUAGUCAGAAGUGAAUCCAAGGUUUAAGCUCAAGUCUGCCUAACUCUGAAUUUCACAGCCUUUUGCUACAUAUGGCGAAUAAUAUAUCCCUGAGCACUAAAGGCAGACUCCAAGGAUCUUGUCUCUGCAAUCAUCAUUCUGGCCAUAAUUUAUGAAAAGCAACCCAAAGUAUGUGAUGUAAUAAAAAGUACUAUCUAUGAGUUUACCCUUCCAAAAAUUGAACUGAAUUCUGAGCUCUAAAUUUGGAAUCAAAAGAACUUUUCUCUGCACUAAUCAUUUGGAACAUCACUUAAAGAAAACAACGAAAAACUGGUGUCCCCUGAGAGAAAGCAAUACAAAACAUUAUGCAUAAAGAAAUCCUUCCAAAAAAUAAACCAAAUCCAGUCAAAUCUCUAGUUUUGACUCCUAGCUUACCGGAAAUACGUGAUGGGAAAAAAAUGAAAUGACACCACUAUGAUUCAAUCAGCCAAAUCCAGCAUAUGCAAAUUUCUACCAGAUAAAUGGUUUAGUUUCUUCCCCAAACAAAUGGCACAAGGAAACGGAGGUAAGAAUGGGAUGCUGUUAUAGAUUUUAAAAGAUUUAAGAAAGUAUAAACUAAAUACACUAUGUGCAUCCUCUCUGAACGUGCUUCAAACAUAUCAAGGGGUCAAUGAGCAGUUUUGAAACAAUAAGGGAAUUUGAACACUGAAUGGUUGUCAGAAGAUAGUAAGAGAUCAUUAUUAAUUUUACUAGACAUAAUGAUGUUCUGAUUUUGUUUUUUUUUUAAAAAAAAAACAGUGUUAUUUCCUUUAUAGAUACAUCAUAUAGUAUUAACUAAUGAAAUGCUUUGAUAUCUGGAACGUUUAAAAAAUAUUCCCGAUGGAGUAAGUGCAAAGAAACAGGUAAGCAAAAUGCUGAUAAUUGCUGAAACACAGGAUGUGUACCUGGGGCUUCAUUUACUAUCUCUUCAUUUUCUAUUUUGAUAUUUGUUGGACAUUCUCAUAAAAAGGAAAGUUAUGUUUUAUUUUCUCAUAAGCUAGUAAUGAAAUAGCCCUACGUAACUGAUAUUGUAGAGACAAGAAUAGGUGUAAUAGAGCUUAAGGUUUUCAUUUAAAAAACUAUCUGUAGACUUCAAUGGAUCUUAGGUGGCAUCCAUGCAAUAACACUCGUGGAACAUGCAGGACAGGUGUGGAGCUCCAUCUUCACACAGUGACAUUUUUUAUGCUUCUGUUUUCCCUAAGAGUGGAGUGAGAGGAUGAUUAUUUUAUAUCAUGGACUUCUUCCCUGCUAUACUUUUUUUAAUUAUUUUACUUUCACUUCUGGGAUACAUGUGCUGAGCAUGCAGGCUUGUUUACAUAGGUAUACAUCUGCCAUGGUGGUUUGCUGCACCUAUCAACCCAUCAUACAGGUUUUAAGCCCUGCAUGCAUUAGGUAUUCGCCCUAAUGCUCUCCCUCGCCUUUCCCCCCACCCCCUGAUAGCCCCCAGUGAGUCAUAUUCCCCUCCCUGUGUCCAUGUGUUCUCAUUGUUCAACUCCCAUUUAUGAGUGAGAAUAUGUGGUGUUUAGUUUUCUGUUCCUGUGUUAGUUUGCUGAGAAUGAUGUUUUCCAGCUUCAUCCAUGUCCCUGAAAAGGACAUGAGCUCAUUCUUUUUUAUGGCUGCAUAGUAUUCCACGGUGUUAUAUGUGCCACAUUUUCUUAAUCCAGUCUGUCAUUGAUGGACAUUUGGGUUGUUUCCAAGUCUUUGCUAUUGUAAAUAGUGCUGCAAUAAACAUAUGUGUGCAUGUGUCUUUGUAGUAGAAUGAUUUAUAAUCCUUUGGGUAUAUGCCCAGUAAUGGGACUGAUGGGUCAAAUGGUAUUUCUGGUUCUAGAUCCUUGAGGAAUUGCCACACUGUCUUCCACAAUGGUUGAACUAAUUUAUACUCCCACCAACAGGGUAAAAGCAUUCCUAUUUCUCCACAUCCUCUCCAGCAUCUGUUGUUUCCAAAUGUUUUAAUGAUUGCCAUUCCACCUGGCGUGAGAUGGUAUCUCAUUGUGGUUUUGAUUUUCAUUUCUCUAAUGACCAGUGAUGAUAAGCUUUUUUUCAUAUGUUUGUUGGCCACAUAAAUGUCUUCUUUUGACUUUUAUGUGGAAACAAAUUUAACUGCACAGAGAGGUGAAAAUUAAUUAAUAACUUUUAAAGUAAUUCCCUAAGUUUCUAAGGAUCUAUAUGUUUCCAUCUGACUUUAUUUUAUUUAAGCUCUUGAUUGAUGCUGCAUUUGGAGCAGGUUCAUGAACAUGAAUAGAGUUAAUCUGGGACAGAUUUCCCUCAUUUGAUUUUUUCACUGUUUCCAUCACAGAACUUAUUUCAUGCUCACCAUGUUUGCAGGCAUUGAGCUUGGUACUGGAGCCACAGAGCUGGAUCAGACAGACUUGUGCAAAUAUUUCAGGUUUUUUUUGUGGGGGGGUCAUAUUUAUAGAUAAAUAACAGUAAAGAGUGACGGGUUCUUAUGAAAAUGCAUACACAGUGAAGUAGAGGGUGAAAAGGAGGGAUGUGUUCUAUGAGGAGGAAGAGUGAUAAGAAAGUGUAAGGGGAUGUGUCUGUGUCUAGACAUAUGUGUGUUCACGUGUGUGCGUGCUUGUGUGUACUGCAUGUGUAUAUGUGUGGCCAUGCACCUGUGUGCAUGUUCAUGUGUGUGUGUGUAUGUGUCUGUGUUGAGGACUAAAUUAAUUGGGCUUAUGGAAGCAGGGAGCCACUGAUAGGUUUAAUUAGAGACUGACAUGAUAUGAUAGUUUAGGUGGAUUUCUCUGGGGGCUGUGUUGAGGGACAGUGGGGAGGAGAGCUAGAAGGAAGAAAAGGACACAUGCAUAACAGAAGCAAUAUCUGUCUAUGGGAUGGUGGAAAGAAUCAGAAAAGACUUAAUAAAACAUGUGACACUUUAACUGAAUCUUGAAAUAGACAAGUGUUGGAGGAGGGAGUUGGACCAGAUACUUCAUGCAAAGGGAAGAAAAGUGCACAAACAAAAUAUGAGAAACAAGGCAGACAGGCAUUUUUUUAAAAUUUUCGCACCCACUGAUAGACCAGUGAUGCAUUCACAUCGUCUGCAUUCAUGAUCAACAAAAGUGCUUUCCUAGAACAUGAACCUCAACCCAAGUGUCGCCUCAAGUAGUGUAUGCAUGAACUCAAGCAUUAAAUUAGAAUUGAUUUUUUAAAAAACUCACACAAACAGAUGUAUUAUUUAAAAAUCUUUAAAGCAGGUUUAAACAGUUUUCAGGAUUAAAAGCAGCCACUAUUAGAAAGAACAAAAAUACAUUUGACAUAAAUAUAAGGAGCCUCAAUAGAACCUCCUGUACCCAGUCAUUGUCAAUGCCACAUCCAUUCAUUCACCAGCCCUUAUAUCAAUGCUUGCUGGGCUCACUUACCACGAUCAGCACGUGCAUGUCCUUAUCUGAAAGCUUGCCACUCAAAUGUGCUCAGUCUUACCUGUGUGGCUGGGAGUGUUGGGGAUUUAAUGUCAAGGGAAAGAAUCUUCCAUCAAUGAAUGAUGAAAGUUAGUUUUCACAACUUCCGGUCCCCUUGGCCCUCAUCAAAGGGCUCCAGGUGAGGUUUGGGCUCCUUGCUAUCCUCCGAGUUUCCACGGUAGUUUUAAGCACCAUUGCCCGUGGUAAUGGCUGACAUUGAUACUGCACUUUUUUUUUAUUUAAGAUGGAGUUCCCCUCUGCCACCCAGACUGGAGUACAGUGGCGCGAUCCUGGCCAUCGCAACCUCCGCCUCCCAGAUCCCUCCUACAACACAUGAGAAUUGUGGGUGCUACAAUUCAAGAUGAGAUUUGAGUGGGGACAAAGUCAAACCAUAUCAUUAGAUAGGACACUGGAGAAAGGCAAGAAAGAAAAGACAUCUGAAGAAUGAAGGGAGCCAAAGAAAUGCCAACAUUUUGCUUUUUGAAGAAAAGCUAAAUUAAAGUCAAAAUGGAUUUAUCAAUUUCCUUGGGUUCGUGAAUGUACAGAACUUUAUUAAGACUGUCAUGCUGUCAUCAUGGCUGGAUCUGAUACGGCCACCGUGGACCUUGAGGUGACCUCGGGAAUGGAGACAGUGCAUGGGAGAGAAUCACAUUGGAAGGGGCCUGGGUUUCUGAAGACCCUGUAAGACAGAUCUCCUUGCAGCCCUGACUGCCCACAUUAGGGCUUUUAUGUUAGGGUGAAGUUACCUUGCAUUGUCAUAUAAGCAAUUGCUAUUUGUGGUGUCUUGCAAAUAAACCUAUUCUGAUCU